GUGUCAGCCGCCGCGGUAAUACGUAGGUGGCGAGCGUUGUCCGGAAUUACUGGGUGUAAAGGGCGUGUAGGCGGGACUGCAAGUCAGAUGUGAAAGCCCAGGGCUUAACCCUGGAGUUGCAUCUGAAACUGUGGUUCUUGAGUGCUGGAGAGGGAAGCGGAAUUCCUAGUGUAGCGGUGAAAUGCGUAGAUAUUAGGAGGAACACCAGUGGCGAAGGCGGCUUUCUGGACAGUAACUGACGCUGAGGCGCGAAAGCGUGGGGAGCAAACAGGAUUAGAUACCCUGGUAGUCCACGCCGUAAACGAUGGAUACUAGGUGUAGGAGGUAUCGACCCCUUCUGUGCCGGAGUUAACACAAUAAGUAUCCCACCUGGGGAGUACGGCCGCAAGGUUGAAACUCAAAGAAAUUGACGG
rnacentral:rRNA from 1 species